rnacentral:rRNA from 1 species
AGAGUUUGAUCAUGGCUCAGAUUGAACGCUGGCGGCAGGCCUAACACAUGCAAGUCGAGCGGUAACAGAUCUAGCUUGCUAGAUGCUGGCGAGCGGCGGACGGGGGAGUAACGCGUAGGAAUUUGCCUAGUAGUGGGGGAUAGCAGUUGGAAACGACUGCUAAUACCGCAUAACGUCUACGGACCAAAGGGGGGGAUCUUAGGACCUUGCGCUAUUAGAUAAGCCUGCGUGGGAUUAGCUAGUUGGUGAGGUAAAGGCUCACCAAGGCGACGAUCUCUAGCUGGUCUGAGAGGAUGAUCAGCCACACUGGAACUGAGACACGGUCCAGACUCCUACGGGAGGCAGCAGUGGGGAAUAUUGGACAAUGGGGGCAACCCUGAUCCAGCCAUGCCGCGUGUGUGAAGAAGGCCUUAGGGUUGUAAAGCACUUUCAGUAGGGAGGAAAAGUUAGUCGUUAAUAACGGCUAGCCGUGACGUUACCUACAGAAGAAGCACCGGCAAACUCCGUGCCAGCAGCCGCGGUAAUACGGAGGGUGCGAGCGUUAAUCGGAAUUACUGGGCGUAAAGCGCGCGUAGGCGGCCUGAUAAGUUGGAUGUGAAAGCCCUGGGCUCAACCUGGGAACUGCAUUCAAAACUGGCUAACUAGAGUACGAUAGAGGGGGGUAGAAUUUCAGGUGUAGCGGUGAAAUGCGUAGAUAUCUGAAGGAACACCAGUGGCGAAGGCGGCCACCUGGACCAAUACUGACGCUGAGGUGCGAAAGCGUGGGUAGCAAACGGGAUUAGAUACCCCGGUAGUCCACGCAGUAAACGAUGUCUAUUAGAAGUUUGUGGCUAUAUGCCGUGGGUUUCAAAGCUAACGCAUUAAAUAGACCGCCUGGGGAGUACGGCCGCAAGGUUAAAACUCAAAUGAAUUGACGGGGGCCCGCACAAGCGGUGGAGCAUGUGGUUUAAUUCGAUGCAACGCGAAGAACCUUACCUGGUCUUGACAUCCUACGAACUUACUAGAGAUAGUUUGGUGCCUUCGGGAACGUAGUGACAGGUGCUGCAUGGCUGUCGUCAGCUCGUGUUGUGAAAUGUUGGGUUAAGUCCCGUAACGAGCGCAACCCUUAUCCUUAUUUGCCAGCACGUAAUGGUGGGAACUCUAGGGAGACUGCCGGUGACAAACCGGAGGAAGGUGGGGACGACGUCAAGUCAUCAUGGCCCUUAUGACCAGGGCUACACACGUGCUACAAUGGAUAUUACAGAGGGCAGCAAUACCGCGAGGUGGAGCGAAACUCAGAAAGGUAUUCUUAGUCCGGAUUGCAGUCUGCAACUCGACUGCAUGAAGUCGGAAUCGCUAGUAAUCGCGAAUCAGAAUGUCGCGGUGAAUACGUUCCCGGGUCUUGUACACACCGCCCGUCACACCAUGGGAGUGGGUUGCUCCAGAAGUAGAUAGCUUAACCCUUCGGGGAGGGCGUUUACCACGGAGUGAUUCAUGACUGGGGUGAAGUCGUAACAAGGUA